rnacentral:rRNA from 1 species
CCUACGGGAGGCAGCAGUGAGGAAUAUUGGACAAUGGGCGCAAGCCUGAUCCAGCCAUGCCGCGUGCAGGAUGACGGUCCUAUGGAUUGUAAACUGCUUUUAUACGAGAAGAAACACUACUUCGUGAAGUAGCUUGACGGUAUCGUAAGAAUAAGGAUCGGCUAACUCCGUGCCAGCAGCCGCGGUAAUACGGAGGAUCCAAGCGUUAUCCGGAAUCAUUGGGUUUAAAGGGUCCGUAGGCGGUUUAAUAAGUCAGUGGUGAAAGCCCAUCGCUCAACGGUGGAACGGCCAUUGAUACUGUUAGACUUGAAUUAUUAGGAAGUAACUAGAAUAUGUAGUGUAGCGGUGAAAUGCUUAGAGAUUACAUGGAAUACCAAUUGCGAAGGCAGGUUACUACUAAUAUAUUGACGCUGAUGGACGAAAGCGUGGGUAGCGAACAGGAUUAGAUACCCUGGUAGUCCACGCCGUAAACGAUGGAUACUAGCUGUUGGAAGCAAUUUCAGUGGCUAAGCGAAAGUGAUAAGUAUCCCACCUGGGGAGUACGUUCGCAAGAAUGAAACUCAAAUGAAUUGACCGG